rnacentral:rRNA from 1 species
UACAGAGGAGCCAAGCGUUGUCCGGAUUGACUGGGCGUAAAGCGCACGCAGGCGGUUGCGCGCGUGGGGUGUGAAAUCUGGCCGCUUAACGGCCAGGCGCCAUCCCAUACGGCGCGACUGGAGUGAUGCAGAGGUCGAUGGAAUUGCCGGUGUAGUGGUGAAAUGCGUAGAGAUCGGGCAGGAACACCCAGGGGGAAACCAGCCGACUGGGCAUCUGCUGACGCUGAGGUGCGAGAGCGUGGGGAGCGAACCGG